rnacentral:tRNA from 1 species
CUAAAUGGAGGCCGAUUUAAUAGGUGUCUAGAUGUUAACUAGAAGGUUGUAAUAUCUAAUUUACCCAUUUAGU